rnacentral:lncRNA from 1 species
UUAUUUUUUACAUAAAUUGCAGAGUAAGUGCCUUUUUAAGAUGGACUAAAGUGAAAAGAGAUCUUUUGUUUGGUUUUUUUUUUUGUUUUUUUUUUGUUUUUUUUUUUUUUGGUUGUUGUUUGUUUCCUUCAGUGAAAUUAGAAAAUUGAGAUGUGACGCAACUUUUCUUCUUCUGAGAAGCUGGGAUGAGCUUAGAAUCAGGCUGUCUCAAACAGAAACAGAUCCUAUAAAACACUGGAAAUAAUAUAAAAAUGGAGCAUCACUGUCAAGCUAUCAAAAAGAAAUCAAACUUUCAAUACAUAGAACAAAGAAUCUUUAAGAAGACAACCUUUCGUCAGAAGUCUUGGUAAACUUACUCCGAUGAACUUAAUGAAAUUGGACCUGACUCUGCUUUUAAAUCUCAUAAAAUUGCCUACUUCUUGACAUUUCUUGUAUUGGUUCAUUUCUCCCUAUGGAAAUAUACCGAAGGCAAAAAGAGAAAAAUCU